GGUGAGCUUUCUCCGACCAGAACCAAAGACUUAAAAAGAGGAUCCAAAGAGUUUUCAAUCUUAAUUUAAGGAGUGAACCGAGAAGAGAGUUUCAGGGACUGACUUAGGAGAGAGGUUUAUUUCUUUGCUUUUAAGAAGAGAAAAGGUCAACAAGGUAGCGAUCUAAGCAUGUUCACAAGUUUGUCUGAGCAUCGUGCAGGUUUGUCGUCAUGCCCUCAAAACCUGGCUAGCUUUGCAUCCAGACAUUCUGGCCCACCAGUUCUAGGGCCUGGGGCAUUGAUUGAGGCCAGACCAAACUCGCAGG